AGUUAACCAUUACAAAAAUUGUAUAGAGUAGCGACUGUAUAAUUUCUAUUGAGGUUAACGUUUAUAUGUAGUGAUAGUAGUUAAAGUUCUCCCAAGGAAGACUACUCGGGUACACUUUGCUAUGAGCAAAGUGUACUUU
rnacentral:sRNA from 26 species